UACGUAGGUGGCAAGCGUUGUCCGGAUUUAUUGGGCGUAAAGCGCGCGCAGGUGGUUUCUUAAGUCUGAUGUGAAAGCCCCCGGCUUAACCGGGGAGGGUCAUUGGAAACUGGGAGACUUGAGUGCAGAAGAGGAAAGUGGAAUUCCAAGUGUAGCGGUGAAAUGCGUAGAGAUUUGGAGGAACACCAGUGGCGAAGGCGACUUUCUGGUCUGUAACUGACACUGAGGCGCGAAAGCGUGGGGAGCAAACGGG
rnacentral:rRNA from 1 species